AAGUUUCAUACACUCAUCUCAUCUACGAUAAUAGUACCAUAACAAACCAAAGUAACGCCAUUGCUAAACAACUACAUUACUAGAUAUCCAACGCACGCAAUAACCUCGCGCCUCGACCGCGCCUGAUGACAGAAACACAAGAACUCAACGCCUAGCACGAGGCCCACCACCUGACUUUGAACCAUACCCACCUCCUGACCUCGGACCAGACCCACCUCCUGACCGCGGACCAGGAUAACGAGCGAAUUGGAGCCUCAAAUUCGUGGACUCUCUGUCAUGCUGAUCAAACACGUAACCUUGUAAAGCAUCCAAGGCAACUGCAGCUUGACUAGGGGACUCAAAAUCAACAAAACACAGAACCAAAGGAUCACCUCCAGGAUUCCGGGACUCCUUGUUCACAAGUCUCACCUCUCGAAAACCUACAAAAGGGCGAAAUAUAUGGGACACUUCCCUGCGUGUACAAUUAGCAGGGAGUCCUUCCACAAAGACUGUGUUGGAGGCAUCAGGAGGGAGUAGUUCUGGCCUGCCACCUCCAACUCCGACAUUCCGGCCAUCACCGGCACCCAACAUGCGCAAAUCUUCUACAGGGCGACCUGGCAUGCCACCCAAUGGUCUAACAUUUUCUCCAGGGCCGUAAGGGUUGCCAUUGCGCAGAAAACGGUCAUAAGACGCAUUGAUAGAAUCAGUGUCCCUAAUUGCAUGUUGUCCAGCUCCUCUUCCAUCAUCUCCAUAGUAGCCAUGCAUUUCCGGACCAGCAGGCAUAUCGGGAUAAUCGGGGCGCGGGCGCUUCAGAGGGGCGGCGGCCGGCGGCGGCAUGGCCGCCGGGUGCCGCGCGGACUCGCUGUACCUCCAGUAGGCGUCGGCCAUGGUUAGGGGAGCGAGGGCUAGGGUUUUGAUUUCAGUACGGGAAUGAUCG
rnacentral:misc_RNA from 1 species